rnacentral:lncRNA from 1 species
CUUCAUUCAUUAUUUCCCAAACAAGUCAGUAGAAAAUUGAGGUUUCUGAGCAAUUUGCAGAUUAAUAACCACUGGAGAUGUGGGUCCAUAUAACCUCACCGAGCGAAAAAGUGAGACCCUCCCCUCUCUCCUUCUCUUGAAUAAGGACCUACAGUAGAUAUCUUGAGAAGCAAAAAAAGAGAAAAGCAGAAACUAGAGAUGGGGUUUCACCGUGUUAGCCAGGAUGGUCUCGAUCUCCUGACCUCGUGAUCCACCUGCCUUGGCCUCCCAAAGUGCUGGGAUUAUAGGCGUGAGCCACUGCGCCCGACCUUCUUGGAGUGACUUCUAAAUGGAUCUACACACCGGGGUAAUAAUGGAGCGUCCGUGAGCAGGCACGUGAAAACACACAGAGAGCGCCAGCAGCGUAAGUGCUCAACAACUGAUAAGCACACUACAAAUAACAAGAAGAGGGUGCCAGGCAUUGAAAGAAUACGAUGUUCAAAGUGAUUACUCCACUCAGCCCAGCUUAAAGAAAGAAAGGAGGAAAAAAACCCUGCUGGACGUUGGAUGUACAGCCAAACACCUGGGUUGGGAAUGCAGAAAACAGGCAUGGAAUGCCAGGAACGCAGCACCUGUGGCUAAGUUGUGGUCUCACAGGCAAAUACUUUUUAAGAAUCUGCUGCAUGCCAGGCCUGCGCUGUGCCACCGUGUUAAGAAGAAACCAAGUAGCCAUAGCCACAUUGGGGAGAGUCAUCUCUCCAGGGCAGAUGGGGCUCUAAAGACCAAGAACUCUGGAGCCAGAUGAAUUCCUUAUUCAUGGGAGGAAGACAAGUGUCACCCAGGCAUUCGAGCAAGCAUGAAGGAACACAAAAAAGAGAAAGAUGUUACCAACUUCAAGAGCUUCAGUCUCUGAAGCCAAUCAGGGAAAACUGGAUGAAAGAUUGUUGAGGGGUUCAUUUAUUCAUGGCCCCUAACUCCUUAGUGUUUUCAUGCUAAAGAUCAAGAUGAGGAGUAUAGCAAUUUUAUUUAACCCAGCAGGUCUUCUUUGGCCAAUGUGUUUUUCCAUCGGGAGAGAAAUGCAAGAGUGCUGAAAACUCUGGUAGAUAGCAAAGCACAGAAAAUCCCUUUCACAAGUAGCAGAGACUUUGGUUACAAGGUGGGUUAGGGGGCUCAACCCCUGUUCUUUGUUAAGGUGGCAUCCUCAGCCUCCUGUCAUUUUUCGGGAAACUAAUUGGAGACUCUACUGACUAGGCAGGCCACAUAGACAAGGCCUGUACUGGAUGUUUGGGCUGUAUUUGUUGUUGUUGUUGUUGUUGUUGUAGCUCAAGUACUUUGAUUCCUGGCAUCAGAAAAGCCCAAAUCUAGAUCAAGAAUGAGUAUGUUUUUCAUCACUUAUUCUAUUUCACCAAUUUUAAGAUAUACUUUUCUCCUUAUUUUCCACAUUUUAACAUCUAUAAAAUUAAGGGCAUUGUGCAGUUACUGUCAGCCACGGAACAGUUGUGACAUAGUUGUCAUCAUCUAUGCAUGUGAAGACCUGGUCUUAGCUAUUAACAUAUUCGCUGCAAUUGUGUUUUGAAGCUGUAUGCAUUUUGAUUCUACAUAUGUUAAGUUUAAUUGAAAUUUGUAAUGUUUUAAAAUAAAUUAUACUAUGCUUUGGUAUUGAAAUAAAACAAAAAAA